AUGAUGCUGGUGAUUUCCAGAUAUUACGCCAUGGCACUAUGGCAUCUGGUGUGGAGGCCCUACGCCGUGACCCGAUCGCUAGGACGACAGGGCAUUCGAGGGCCACCGUAUACAUUCGCCGUCGGGUCCCUGGGGGAGUGCAAGCGGAUGAUUGUUGCUGGGAGAGCAAAGCCUCUCCACGCCGGCUGCCACGACUACACCUCCCUCGUGCAACCUUUCUUCCAGAAAUGCACUUCUGACUAUGGAAAAACAUUUCUGUUUUGGCUCGGACCAAUACCGUCAAUCUGUUCUACUGACAUCGAGCUAGUCAAAGAAGUGCUCGCAGACAGGACAAACUUAUUCCAAAAGGACUACCUCAACCCUAGUUUGGAAGUAUUUUUUGGCAAAGGGCUUGUGCUUGCAAACGGAGACGACUGGAAGAGACAGCGCAAAGUUGUCCACCCAGUUUUCAAGCAAGAGAAGCUCAAGGUUAAUUUCCUAUUUCUCGAAAAUGGAUGUAUCUAG
rnacentral:rRNA from 1 species